rnacentral:rRNA from 1 species
UACGUGGGGUGCGAGCGUUGUCCGGAAUUACUGGGCGUAAAGAGCUCGUAGGUGGUUUGUCGCGUUGUUCGUGAAAACUCACAGCUUAACUGUGGGCGUGCGGGCGAUACGGGCAGACUGGAGUACUGCAGGGGAGACUGGAAUUCCUGGUGUAGCGGUGGAAUGCGCAGAUAUCAGGAGGAACACCGGUGGCGAAGGCGGGUCUCUGGGCAGUAACUGACGCUGAGGAGCGAAAGCGUGGGGAGCGAACAGG